rnacentral:rRNA from 1 species
AGAGUUUGAUCAUGGCUCAGGAUGAACGCUAGCGGCAGGCUUAACACAUGCAAGUCGAGGGGUAUAGGUUUUCGGACCUAGAGACCGGCGCACGGGUGCGUAACGCGUAUGCAAUCUACCUUUUACAGAGGGAUAGCCCAGAGAAAUUUGGAUUAAUACCUCAUAGUAUUAUGAAUCGGCAUCGGUUUAUAAUUAAAGUUCCAACGGUAAAAGAUGAGCAUGCGUCCCAUUAGCUAGAUGGUAAGGUAACGGCUUACCAUGGCGACGAUGGGUAGGGGUCCUGAGAGGGAGAUCCCCCACACUGGUACUGAGACACGGACCAGACUCCUACGGGAGGCAGCAGUGAGGAAUAUUGGUCAAUGGGCGCAAGCCUGAACCAGCCAUGCCGCGUGCAGGAUGACGGUCCUAUGGAUUGUAAACUGCUUUUGUACAGGAAGAAACAGUUCUACGUGUAGAACCUUGACGGUACUGUAAGAAUAAGGAUCGGCUAACUCCGUGCCAGCAGCCGCGGUAAUACGGAGGAUCCAAGCGUUAUCCGGAAUCAUUGGGUUUAAAGGGUCCGUAGGCGGUUUUGUAAGUCAGUGGUGAAAGCCCAUCGCUCAACGGUGGAACGGCUAUUGAUACUGCAAGACUUGAAUUACUAGGAAGUAACUAGAAUAUGUAGUGUAGCGGUGAAAUGCUUAGAUAUUACAUGGAAUACCAAUUGCGAAGGCAGGUUACUACUAGUGGAUUGACGCUGAUGGACGAAAGCGUGGGGAGCGAACAGGAUUAGAUACCCUGGUAGUCCACGCCGUAAACGAUGGAUACUAGCUGUUCGAGAGCAAUCUUGAGUGGCUAAGCGAAAGUGAUAAGUAUCCCACCU